rnacentral:rRNA from 1 species
CUACGGGUGGCAGCAGUGGGGAAUAUUGGACAAUGGGCGGAAGCCUGAUCCAGCCAUGCCGCGUGUGUGAAGAAGGCCUUCGGGUUGUAAAGCACUUUCAGUGGGGAAGAAAGCCUUGGGGCUAAUACCCUCGAGGAAGGACAUCACCCACAGAAGAAGCACCGGCUAACUCCGUGCCAGCAGCCGCGGUAAUACGGAGGGUGCGAGCGUUAAUCGGAAUUACUGGGCGUAAAGCGCGCGUAGGCGGUCUGAUAAGCCGGUUGUGAAAGCCCCGGGCUCAACCUGGGAACGGCAUCCGGAACUGUCAGGCUAGAGUGCAGGAGAGGAAGGUAGAAUUCCCGGUGUAGCGGUGAAAUGCGUAGAGAUCGGGAGGAAUACCAGUGGCGAAGGCGGCCUUCUGGACUGACACUGACGCUGAGGUGCGAAAGCGUGGGUAGCAAACAGGAUUAGAUACCCCGGUAGUC